AUACGGAGGGUGCAAGCGUUACUCGGAAUCACUGGGCGUAAAGCGCGCGCAGGCGGUCUUUUAAGUUGGAUGUGAAAGCCUACGGCUCAACCGUAGAACUGCAUCCAAAACUAUUAGACUAGAGUGUGGGAGAGGAAGAUGGAAUUAGUUGUGUAGGGGUAAAAUCCGUAGAGAUAGCUAGGAAUACCAAAAGCGAAGGCAAUCUUCUGGAACACUACUGACGCUGAGGCGCGAAAGCGUGGGGAGCAAACAGGAUUAGAAACCCUAGUAGUCC
rnacentral:rRNA from 1 species